GCGCGCGACAUAUAUAAUCAACCUUCUUAGGCCGCUCCCUUCCUUUUAGUAGUGGCCGUCAAGCACGUUGGAAGGACUGGACUCCCUUUAGGCCAACAUGCCAGUUGCCAGGAGCUGGGUAUGUCGGAAGACAUAUGUCACCCCAAGGCGGCCCUUUGAGAAGUCCCGGCUUGACCAGGAACUGAAGCUGAUUGGUGAGUAUGGGCUGCGUAACAAGCGUGAAGUGUGGCGGGUGAAGUUCACCUUGGCCAAGAUCCGCAAAGCUGCCCGAGAGCUGCUCACCCUGGAUGAGAAGGAUCAGAGGCGUCUCUUUGAGGGUAAUGCCUUGCUGCGUCGGCUGGUCAGAAUUGGGGUGCUGGAUGAGGGCAAGAUGAAGCUGGAUUACAUCCUGGGUCUGAAGAUUGAAGAUUUUCUGGAAAGGCGUCUCCAAACCCAGGUCUUCAAGCUGGGCCUGGCCAAGUCCAUCCACCAUGCCCGGGUGCUCAUCCGUCAAAGACACAUCCGGGAGAUGUGUGGACAUGUCCCAGCCGUGUGUCUUUUUGCCCCACCAAUCCCUUCCCUGGACUGGAACCCUGGAUAACCUAAAAGCCCUGCAGUCUGCCUAAUGAGGCUGUAUGCCAAAAGCACCAACAAUUUCGGCAAGGUUCACUGCGGCUCAGCCGUACACCUUGCGAAGGUCUUGGCGUGUGGGCAGUAGAGUGUAAGGAAGCAAGUAGUGAACAUCCCUUCCUUCAUCGUCCGCCUGGACUCCCAAAAGCAUAUUGACUUCUCCCUCCGCUCACCAUAUGGUGGUGGCCGUCCAGGUCGUGUCAAGAGGAAGAAUGCCAA